CCCUUAGAUGUUCUGUGCCGCACGCGUGCUACACUGAGUGGAUCAGCGGGUCAGGUUGCGCGAAAGUGUUUCCUAAUCUUUAAAUCCGCUCGUGAUGGGGAUUGACGGUUGCAAUUUUCCGUCAUGAACGAGGAAUACCUUGUAAGCGCGGGUCAUCAUCCCGCGCUGAAUACGUCCCUGCCCUUUGUACACACCGCCCGUCGCUCCUACCGAUUGAGUGGUCCGGUGAGGCUUUGGGAUCUGAGCGGAAAGAGCGUUUCGCUGUUUCUGCCCGGAAAACUCAGUCGAACCUUAUCAUUUAGAGGAAGGAGAAGUCGUAACA
rnacentral:rRNA from 1 species